GACGAACGCUGGCGGCGUGCCUAAUACAUGCAAGUUGAGCGCUGAAGGUUGGUACUUGUACCAACUGGAUGAGCAGCGAACGGGUGAGUAACGCGUGGGGAAUCUGCCUUUGAGCGGGGGACAACAUUUGGAAACGAAUGCUAAUACCGCAUAAAAACUUUAAACACAAGUUUUAAGUUUGAAAGAUGCAAUUGCAUCACUCAAAGAUGAUCCCGCGUUGUAUUAGCUAGUUGGUGAGGUAAAGGCUCACCAAGGCGAUGAUACAUAGCCGACCUGAGAGGGGGAUCGGCCACACUGGGACUGAGACACGGCCCAAACUCCUACGGGAGGCAGCAGUAGGGAAUCUUCGGCGAUGGACGAAAGUCUGACCGAGCAACGCCGCGUGAGUGAAGAAGGUUGUCGGAUCGUAAAACUCUGUUGGUAGAGAAGAACGUUGGUGAGAGUGGAAAGCUCAUCAAGUGACGGUAACUACCCAGAAAGGGACGGCUAACUACGCG
rnacentral:rRNA from 1 species